AGCACCCUGGUUCUGUAGGGAAAUGAAUCGAGCAGACCAACUUAUUAUGGCCAUUCCAGAUGACGCUGCGUCCAAACUAUGGGGUGUUGACAAAGGCCCUACUAAUGUUAUGAUACAUACUGAAGAUGGUUGUGUCUUUAAUGUUUUUUUAAGCGCUUCUAAAGGGAAGUUAUUUUUUUUCAUGGUUGGUCCAAUGUUGUAGGACACUUGGGACUAACCAAAGGAUGUUUGGUAGUUUUUAAUCCACUAGAUCCUACUACUUUUAAAUUAACAAGUUUCGUUGAUGGGGUUA